AUUUAAAUAGUUUAAUUAUAAAACUUUGAUUUGUGGAAUCAGAAAUGUAUUAAUAUUUACUUUAAAUU
rnacentral:tRNA from 1 species